GCCGUCCGGUUGCUAGGCAACAUCAGCCGGCGGCAGGACGACACUGAGAGCACUAGGACCCAGUGCCAUGGAUAAUUGGGAGCUGGAGAUGCAGGGAUUGGCUGCCGCAGAGUGGGAGGCAGCAGGCCGUGGCGAUUGGAGGAGACAGCGCGAGAGAGAAGAGGGCAGUGUUGGCACGCAGAACGGUGGCGCGGAGUCAGAGGAGAGAGAGAGAGAGCCGGAGUGUGUCACACUGCUGCCGCCGACAGAGAGAGAGAGGAGCGGAGUGAACUGAGCGGGAGGCAGAGGCGCCAGGCAGCGUGUGAGUGGAGACGAGCGCUGCUGCAGCCGCUGACAGGAGCCAGACAGGACCCGAGAGGCAAGCUGACUGUGUGUGCGGCCAGCAGAGAGGGAGAGCCGCUGACAGGAGCCAGCCAGGACCCGAGAGGCAAGCUGACUGUGUGUGCGCCCAGCAGAGAGUGAGAGCCGCUGACAGGAGCCAGCCAGGACCCAAGAAGCAAGCUGACUGUGUGUGCGCCCAGCAGAGAGGGAGAGCCGCUGACAGGAGCCAGCCAGGACCCGAGAGGCAAGCUGAGUGUAUGUGCGCCCAGCAGAGAGGGAGGGCAGCGGAUAGCAGGACAGCCAGGACCAGAGGACACUGUGUGUGGUCCUAGGGGAACAAGAGCGCAAAGAGCACCAGCAGCAACCAGUGACACAGCGCUGCGACCCGGCAUCCGGUUGCCAAGCAAUGUGGUUACCAGGACUACAGGACACGCCUCCGCAAUGACGCGCUGCACUGAAGCCGGGACGGAAGCUGUUCCCUCCCCCGACUUCCAACUUUCCCACUGUACCGUUCACUGUUUAUUACGAAAUCCCCUAUCCGGUGAAAAGAGGUAAUUUUUAUGAUCAUCUUCUUUCUUCUUAAGCAGCACUAUAUCACCAAAGUAUACCGUGGUUUUACUUCACUACUUACGGAAUGAUUACGCCCCCUAUUGGAAGUUGACAAUUAAAUGAGCUCUUUGAGAAUUAUGGAAUGCAUACUUUCUUCCUUCAAUGAU